rnacentral:tRNA from 1 species
AUUUAUAUAAUAUAAAAAGUAUAUAUGAUUUCCAAUUAUAAAGUUUAAAUAAAAAUUUAAUAUAAAUA